rnacentral:rRNA from 1 species
UGGCGGUAUUUUAUUCCAUUUAGAGGAAUCUGUUCUUUAAUCGAUACCCCACGAUUACUUUAUUUUUUUAAAAGCUUAUAUAUCGUUGUUUAAAGAGUUAAUUAUAAAAUUUUCUCAGAAAAUUUUAUAAAUUUAAUAACAAAUCAAGGUAUAGUUUAUAUAAAAGUAGAAAUGGAUUACAUUUUUUUUAUAAAAAUGAGCACUAGUCUUUAAAAUUAGGUGUAAAUUGGAUUUAAUAGUAAUUUUAUUAUAAAGCUUAUUUGAAUUUGGUUCUAAAAU